AGUUUGACUAGCCAAUCAGAGCGCGCCUUCAACGCUAUCCCCUGUUUUAGUAUAUACUAAUAAAAGAUAAUCUACACAAGAUUUUUCAUAUGAAGACAAACCUAUUAGUGACGGACCUUCAGCCAAUCUGUUUGGGGUAUAUCUUGGGAAACAACCCUACAGACUGCCCAAAUCAGGUGAUUAUAAAAGCAGGGAGGAAACACAUGAAGGGACUGGAGAGAGCAAAGUCUACAUGAAAUAAGCCAGGACAAAACCUGAGCUACAAAUUAAAGCUUGAAUCAUUCAAACGAAGAAGAUCAGUCUGCAAUAUAAAUGCAACCUUCAAACCAACUUAAACUGACAGUCCUUUCCCUUGACAAACAUUUUAGUAAUUUACUAUCAGAUUUUCUACAAUCUGCAUGUAUCUUGAACCAUAUUCAUUUAUUGCUCCUUGUGUAUUAAGUUAAUGGAACGCCAACGCAUUUUACCACGUUUACUAGUGCCCUUCAAACUCAAUUGUUUGUUCUAGUUAAUUUCCUUGCUUGCAAUCAAACACCUUCAAAAGAUAGAGUUGAGAAACACCUAGAAAUUUCACAAACAUUUGCAGGCUCAUGCACCAAGGCCAUAGAAACACUAAUGGUACUAUGGAAGGGUUUUGAAAUUAAAAACUGGACAAGUGGAAACAUUUUUUGCUCUGUUUAAGUUGUAGAAAGAACAGAUCAGCUCAGAAUUGUGGCUGUCCUUUGUCCAGUACACGAAGUAAAACUCUAUAGUUUCAUCAUUGAACACUUAAAAUUUUUCUGAAAGAGUUUCUUGGAUCACAAAAAUACAGAUGAUGCAGAUUGCACCACUUUGUUUGUUGCCACCAUACAGAGCAUGUAUGUUAGGCAGUCUUCUCAGACAGUUGUCUGUUAGGUUUACAAAGUAAACAUAAAUCAUGAAAGAAAUGCAUGACUGCUAUGGCUUUUCAAAAGACAUUCUUUUAACUUUCACCAUGGUAGUUCCUUUCAAACUGUUGCAAUGAAUAGUCCAUUUCCGAAUUACCCUGGCCUCAUUUUAAA